rnacentral:rRNA from 1 species
GGAUUAGAUACCCUGGUAGUCCAUGCAGUAAACGAUGGGUGCUAGUCGUCGGACUUUUGUUCGGUGUCGUAGCUAACGCGUUAAGCACCCCGCCUGGGGAGUACGGUCGCAAGAUUAAAACUCAAAUAAAUUGACGGGGACCCGCACAAGCAGUGGAGCAUGUGGUUUAAUUCGACGCAACGCGAAGAACCUUACCAGCGUUUGACAUGGGAAGUGCCGGUUACAGAAUGGUAACCUUCAGUUCGGCUGGCUUCCGCACAGGUGCUGCAUGGCUGUCGUCAGCUCGUGCCG